UCGAUUCAAUAGUUUGUCCUAGCUCCCUGCAAACAAGGGAAGAAUGUUCGGUUUGGGUAAGCUCUUUUCGAACAGGUUAUUUCGGUAAAGAGGGAGACAAAGCCUUUUCACUUCAACUAAUCGUUGAUUGCAGGUAAGCCUGAAGCUUUGAGACGGCUGAUGUCGGUAUUGUGUAGGGCAGUAGGUCGGGGCCUGAGCCCCCCCAAACUAAAAGGGGAAAAGGGAGGGGCCUUAGAGGGAAGCCUAUCAAAGAAAGAAGAAGCUAAGCAGACUGACAGCGCCCAGAGCUCGUUAGUUAGGUUCUGAUGCUUCGAAAAGGAAUCAACCUAGGACUCCAUUUUCGAAUAAGAAGCAUUUCCGGGGCUUCAGCCUUUGAUGGACAAAAGGGCUAAAGUCACAGCUUCAGAAGUCAGUUUUCAUCACCUUACAAUCUCUGGUUUUUCUAAUCUGACUUUAUUCAAGAAAAUCUUUCUUCUCUGUUGGCCACCACGUUUCGGGGGGGGCUACAGAGGGGGGGUUGCAGUAGUAGCGGUGGGCGGUUUACCUUUCUACCCUAGAGGUAAAUUAAAGCAUCUAUCGGUAUGAAUACGAAAUGACUUUUCUUCUCUAUGGCCUUCGCUUCCAAGACUACUUUCUUUUUCUUUUUUUUUUUAUCCACCAGGAAAUGCUGCUUUGCCUUCAACGCUUGGAAAAGAUUUUCUAUUUCGAAUUCGAGUUGUUCAGUCAGUGUAAGGCACCCAGUGAUGCUAGGCUAGGUGUCACGGUUUGUGAGUUCUUGAUAUUGAAAUCACGCGUCCAUACGUCAUCAAAUCUACUCAUAAUCAAGGUUAAUUUUUCGUGAGUCAAUUUUUUUUAGACAGUUCAAUUUCAAUCUGUCAAACCGCAUAUAUAAGAGCAUUUUCUUUGGCUUUGACUUUCGUUAGAUUACUCAUUCCAAACUCUAGAGGAAGGAAUCCAACUCUUGUCACUCAUCCACCUAUAAUUCUCAAAGUGGUCUCGAGCACCCAUCUUUGUCCGCAGGGCUUAAAGUCUUAAGCAUCGACCCUCGAAUACCCGUGAGGCACGCAGCUCUGAUUCUCAUGAUAUUAUUACUUCUUGACAUUGUGAGAACCCAACAUCAUGCCCACUCGUAUCGUAUGCAAACUCUUGUAUCAAGUUUAUGCAAGCGCAACACUUAUGCUGGUCAACAACCAGCUCGAAGCCUGUAGGCUCAUCUUAUCUCACCGAACUCAAUUUUUAGGGCUCAGGCCCUUAGCUUCAAUGUAGACUGCCCGUACGCAUGAUUGACACCCAACAUGAUGCAAAUCUCGUAAGAGGGACUUGGGUGGGCUACCCCAAUUGCAGCACACCUCUACCGGUUGGCCACAAGGGUCUAGCAAAGUGCCUGCCUGCUAGCCUGCACAUCCCUUAGGCUCAAUGGCGUCCUUCCUGCACAAACACCAUUUCAUGAUCCUUUUAGCUUAGGGAAGAGAAAUCGGGGGGCAUAGCAAACUCUAUUGCGUAAUCUCAUGGCUCAACGCGAAGACACGAUACGAGGCCCACUAGCUCCAACCGUCCCCGGGUUUACCAUGACCCAAGGAAAUAUCGUGUCACGCUUAUGACCCUACGAUGCCUGCCCACCUAGACACCACUAGUGCCUAGGAGCAGCUCACUUCAAACUAGCCAAGCCCUUGUCUACCCGCUAGCCAAGGGGGUGGUGGAGAGUUGACACCAGUCAUCCCCCUCUAAAGAACAUAAAAGAUUUUCUCAGUCUCCUACCAAUAAUCGUAAGAUUGUCUGAAAUAAAGAUACUUUUCUCUCCAGCCAUCUUAGGGCCUUUCUCUAGCUAACUCAAGGCCCAUAACCUUCAUCUUAGUCAUCAUUAUUCCUUGAUUCUACUCGUUGUUUCACCAACCCACUCGAAAAUGCUCGCACAUGGCUUCGACCGACAACACCUGACUGGCUAGCUGGUCCCAAGGCACCGACACACUGCCUUACACUUAUCAGCGUAUCUUAGAGUUUAGGGCUCAAACUAUCCACACAUAAUAUCUCUUACAUAUUCUCAUGCUCAGAAUGCCCAUACAUUGCUUCCACUGAUGGCCCCCGCCAGACUACUUGGCUCGAGGGUGCUUGACCAGUGUCUCGAACUUAUCUACGUAUCUUGCCAACCAGGGCUUUCACUACCCGCACAACAUAUUAGUAACCUGUUCCAAUGCUCCAAAUGCACUCCCGUAUCUCUUAAAACCAUUUUUUCGCCAGCUUGGUCUCGAUUGUUGCUCAGCUCAGGGUUAGUCAUGGCAAGACCAAGGCACACCAAAGCCUGACCAUGACACUCUUCCCGGAGGGGUGGGCAUGGCUUAAGAGGCGCGGUAGCAGUGGGCGGUUUACCUUUCUACCCUAAGAGGUAAAUUAAAGCAUCUAUCGGUAUGAAUACGAAAUGACUUUUCUUCUCUAUGGCCUUCGCUUCCAAGACUACUUUCUUUUUCUUUUUUUUUUAUCCACCAGGAAAUGUUGUUUUGCCUUCAACGCUUGGAAAAGAUUUUCUAUUUCGAAUUCGAGUUGUUCAGUCAGCACCCAGUGAUGCUAGGCUAGGUGUCACGGUUUGUGAGUUCUUGAUAUUGAAAUCACGCGUCCAUGCGGCACCAAAUCUACUCAUAGUCGAGGUCAAUUUUUCGUGAGUCAAUUUUUUUUUAGACAGUUCAAUUUCAAUCUGUCAAACUGCAUAUAUAAGAGCCUUUUCUUUGGCUUUGACCUUCGUAAGAUUACUCAUUCCAAACUCUAUAGGAAGGAAUCCAACUCCUGUCACUCAUCCACCUAUGAUUCUCAAAGUGGCCCCGAGCACCCAUCUUUGCCCGCAAGGCUUAAAGUCUUAAGCAUCAACCCUCGAAUACCCGUGGGGCACGCAGCCCCGAUUCUCAUGAUAUUAUUACUUCUUGACAUUGUGAGAACCCAACACCAUGCCCACUCGUAUCGUAUGCAAACUCUCGUAUCAAGUUUAUGCAAGCAUAACACUUAUGCUGGUCAGCAACCAGUUCAGAGCCUGUAGGCUCAUCUUAUCUCACCGAACUCAGUUUUUAGGGCUCAGGCCCUUAGCUUCAAUGUAAACUGCCCGUACGCAUGAUUGACACCCAACAUGAUGCUAGUCCCGCAAGAGGGACUUAGGUGGGCUACCCCGACUGCAGCACACAUCUACCGGUUGGCCACAAGGGUCUAGCAAAGUGCCUGCCUGCUAGCCUGCACAUCCCUUAGGCUCGAUGGCGUCUUUCCUGCACAAACACCAUUUUCAUGAUCCUUCUAGCUUAGGGAAGGGAAAUCGGGGGACAUAGCAAACUCUAUUGCGUAAUCUCAUGGCUCAAUGCGAAGAUACGAUACGAGGCCCACCAGCUCCAACCGUCCUCGGGUUUACCAUGACCCAAGGAAAUAUCGUGUCACGCUUAUGACCCUACGAUGCCUGACCAUCUAGACACCACUAGUGCCUAAGAGUAGCUCACUUCAGACUAGUCAAGCCCUUGUCUACCCGCUAGCCAAAGGGGUGGUGGAGAGCUAACACCAAUCAUCCCCCUAUAAAAAACGUAAGAGAUUUUCUUAGUCUCCUACUAAUAAUCAUAAAAUUGUCUGAAAUAAGGACACUUUUCUCUCCAGCCAUCUUAGGGCCUUUUUUCUGGCUAACUCAAAGCCCAUAACCUUCAUCUUGGUCAUCAUUAUUCCUUGAUUCUACUCGUUGCUUCACCAACCCACUCGAAGAUGCUCGCACAUGGCUUCGACCGACAACACCUGACUGGCUAGCUGGUCCCAGGGCACCGACACACUGCCAUAUACUUACCAGCGUAUCUUAGAGUUUAGGGCUCAAACUAUCCACACACAAUAUCUCUUACAUAUUCUCAUGCUCAGAAUGCCCAUACAUUGCUUUCGCUGAUGGCCCCCGCCAGACUACUUGGCUCGAGGGUGCUUGAGCAGUGUCUCGAACUUACCUACGUAUCUUGCCAUCCAGGGCUUUCAUUACCUGCAUAACAUAUUAGUAACCUGUUCCAAUGCUCCAAAUGCACUCCCGUAUCUCUUAAAACUACUUUUUCACCAACAUGGUCUCGAUUGUUGCUCAGUUCAGGGUUAGUCAUGACAAGACCAAGGCACACCAAAGCCUGACCAUGACACUCUUCUCGGGGGGGUGGACGUGGCUUAAGAGGCUAGGUAGCAGUGGGCGGUUUACCUUUCUACCUUAAGAGGUAAAUUAAUGCAUCUAUCGGCAUGAAUACAAAAUGAAUUUUCUUCUCUAUGGCCUUAACUUCGCUUCCAAGACUACUUUUUUUUCUUUUUUUUUAUCCACCAGGAAAUGCUGCUUUGCCUUCAGCGCUUGGAAAAGAUUUUCUAUUUCGAAUUCGAGUUGUUCAGUCAGCACCCAGUGAUGCUAGGCUAGGUGUCAUGAUUUGUGAGUUCUUGAUUUUGAAAUCACGCGUCCAUGCGGCACCAAAUCUACUCAUAGUCGAGGUCAAUUUUUUGUGAGUAAAUUUUUUUUUAGACAGUUCAAUUUCAAUCUGUCAAACCGCAUAUAUAAGAGCCUUUUCUUUGGCUUUGACCUUCGUAAGAUUACUCAUUCCAAACUCUAUAGAAAGGAAUCCAACUCCUGUCACUCAUCCACCUAUGAUUCUCAAAGUGGCCCCGAGCACCCAUCUUUGCCCGUAGAGCUUAAGGUCUUAAGCAUCGACCCUCGAAUACCAGUGGGGCACGCAGUCUCGAUUCUCAUGAUAUUAUUACUUCUUGACAUUGUGAGAACCCAACACCAUGCCCACUCGUAUCGUAUGCAAACUCUCGUAUCAAGUUUAUGCAAGCACAACACUUAUACUAGUCAGCAACCAGUUCGGAGCCUGUAGGCUCAUCUUAUCUCACCGAACUCAGUUCUUAGGGCUUAGGCCCUUAACUUCAAUGUAGACUGCCCGUACGCAUGAUUGACACCUAACAUGAUGCUAGUCCUGUAAGAAAGACUUAGGUGGGCUACCCCAACUGAAGCACACCUCUACCGGUUGGCCACAAGGGUCUAGCAAAGUGUCUGCCUGCUAGCCUGCACAUCUCUUAGACUCGAUGGCGUCCUUUCUGCACAAACACCAUUUCAUGAUCCUUUUAGCUUAGGGAAGGGAAAUCGGGGGGCAUAGCAAACUCUAUUGCGUAAUCUCAUGGCUCAACGCGAAGACACGAUACGAGGCCCACCAGCUCCAACUGUCCCCGGGUUUACCAUAACCAAGGAAAUAUCGUGUCACGCUUAUGACCCUACGAUGCCUACCUACCUAGACACCACUAGUGCCUAGGAGCAGCUCACUUCAAACUAGCCAAGCCCUUGUCUACUCGCUAGCCAAUGGGGUGGUGAAGAGCUGACACCAGUCAUCCCCCUAUAAAGAACGUAAGAGAUUUUCUCAGUCUCCUACCAAUAAUCGUAAGAUUGUUUGAAAUAAAGACACUUUUCUCUCCAGCCAUCUUAGGGCCUUUCUCUAGCUAACUCAAGGCCCAUAACCUUCAUCUUAGUCAUCAUUAUUCCUUGAUUCUACUCGUUGCUUCACCAAUCCACUCGAAGAUGCUCGCACAUGGCUUCGACCAACAACACCUGACUGGCUAGCUGGUCCCAGGGCGCCGACACACUGCCUCACACUUUUCAACGUAUCUUAGAGUUUAAGGCUCAAACUAUCCACACACAAUAUCCCUUACAUAUUCUCAUGCUCAGAAUGCCCAUACAUUGCUUCCACUGAUGGCCCCCACCAGACUACUUGGCUCGAAGGUACUUGACCAGUGUCUCGAACUUACCUACGUAUUUUGCCAUCCAGGGCUUUCACUACCCGCACAAUAUAUUAGUAACCUGUUCCAAUGCUCCAAUGCACUCCCGUAUCUCUUAAAACCAUUUUUUUGCCAAUUUGGUCUCGAUUGUUGCUCAGCUCAGGGUUAGUCAUGGCAAGACCAAGGCACACCAAAGCCUGACCAUGACACUCUCUCCUACAUAUUAUGUCGAUGCCCUCAUCAACGUCAGACCACACCCAACUCUCUUGUUACAUACAGUCGACAUUUACUCGUAUGUCUUUCAUUUGUGCCCUUAAGGGAUUGGGUCAAGGUCUCGUCACAUGGGGCACCACCCGCAGUACUCAUCUAUUGUUGAUGUAGAUUGGUCACAUCCUAGCACCAAUACACCUUCGUUCUGUUCCUACUAAGACCGUCUCACCUUAUCUUGGUUGUUGCAUAUGUGCCACAACAUUGCUUCCUUUGAUCAUAUCAUGUUACGACCUCAAGGCACCCUCAUUGAUCAAUGACCUUUAGUAAAAUGAAUGGCCACCCGCUUUGCCACUCAUUGGUGCGUCCCACUGGACGUGACCUCUCACACCAACUGCAUGCCUGCAACAUCGACUCUUCGAUGCACCCUUUGAAACGUGGUGCUUAGGCCAACCGCACUCAUUCAGCACCACACACAAUAGACCCUUGCACGGUGGCUUUCAGACACGUUGGUUAUCUCAUAACUUGGGUCCUCUCGGCCCCUCUAAGGUCACCUCUCUAGGUGUGGCCGUCUGGCUAACUGCCUUGAUAGUGGCACUUUAAUGCGCGCUAACUCAGUCUCUGUCGUGAAUACAAACACAAUGUUCAAUCAACUUAGUCUCCUCUACCUUGUCUCAAUCCCAUGGGGAAUCACAAGUCUCCCUCACUUUUACUCGAAACUCAGUUCAGCACUAAACGCAACCAUGUUUUCUCGAUGGUUCUCCAGUUCAUCUGCCUUAACUCUGGCAUAGCCUCUAGGGCAUAUCAAAAUCCAUUCCAUACUCAAAUAUCCACUGAUUCGACCAAUCACCUCAUCUACUGAUUUGUUUGACUCGGAGAUUAAGCCACCCGCUCAAUUUUUACGGUCCACUGACCUACAUGUCUGAAGGCCUUGUCAACUAGCCAAUUACUAUUUGCUUGUUCCACUAGAUUACACUCUGUCGUGGCUCACUGACCAUCAUCACACAUGAGGCCUCCCUUAUCAACCAACACAAAACUUGGUUCACUGACUUACAUACUCUCAUGUUUUACCGACCAUAAAAACUCAUGGUCCACCAACCAUCACAACUCAUGGCUUCAAUCCUCAACCAAUUCACACUCUUCUGUGUAAUGGCUCUAUGCUUGGACCCAAAUACUUCGGCUUACACCCCCACUGGGGCACCUGAAUCAUACAAAAAGUGUGCACAUUAGUAAUAAAUCUUGAAAUGCAUGCCUCGUGUUCUUCAAGACAAAACUCACUCGGCCCCACUAGCUUUACAAAACACCAUUUCAUGGUGUAAGCCCCUUUUCGUAUUUUGGCCUCACCACGGUUUCUUCCACCGUAAAUGCAUCACAUGCCCCAAAACAUGCCAACAUAUUUUUCUAGGUGAGCCAGACUCCAGUGCCUUUUUGCUUGGUAUCCAAAAGUCUACUCAAAAGCCUUUUCAUUAGCCAAAAUUUCUCAUAGCAUGCAUCGUUGGCUCAUUUUCGAGCCUCUAUAGCCAUUGGACUGCAUUUGCAUCUUGAUAGCUCUUUUGAGCUUAGUACCACCUCAAUUUCAUGUCAUUAGGCCUACAUAUAGGAUCAUGUUAAUCUCGUCACUGAGCCCAACCUGGGCUUUGAUACCACAAUGUCACGGUCCGUGCGUUUCUUAUUUUGAAACCACGCAUCCAUGCGGCACCAAGACUACUCAUAGUCAAAGUCAACUUUUCGUGAGUCUAUUUUUUCUUGGACAGCUCAAUUUUAAUCCUUCAAGCCGCAUACAUAGGAGCCUUUUCUUUAGCUUUAACCCUAUAGGGUCACUCAUUCUGAACUCUAUAGGGACGAACCCAACUCCCGUCACUUAUCAGCUCAUGAUUCAUAAAGUGGCCCCGAGCACCCAUCUUUGUCCGUAGGGCUUAAAGUCUUGAACAUCGACCCUCGAAUACUCGUGGGGCACGUAACCUCGAUUCUCAUGAUAUUGUUACUUCUUGACAUGGUGAGAACCCAACACCAUGCCCGUCUGUAUCGUACACAAACUCUUAUGUCAAGUUUACGCAAGUGUAACAUUUAUGCUAAUCAGCAACCAGUUCAGAGCCUCUAGGCUCAUCUCAUCCCACGAGACUCAUUUUUUAGAGCUUAAGACCUUAGCUUCAAUGUAGACUACCUGCACACAUGAUUGAUACCCAACAUAAUGCUAGUCCCACAAGGGAGACUUGGGUGGGUUACCUCAGUUGCAGCACACCUCUAUCGAUUGGCCACAAGGUUAUAGCAGCAUGCCUGUCUGCUAGCCCGCACAUCCCUCAAGCUCGAUGGUGUCCCUCAUACGCAAACAUCAUCUCAUGAUCCUUCUGACUUAGGAAAAGGAAAUCGAGAGGCAUAGCGAACUCUAUUGCAUAACCCCAUGGCUCAACGUGAAGACGCGAUAUAGGCCCAUCAGCCUCAACCAUCCGUGGGUUUACCAUGGCCCGAGGAAACAUCGUGUCACACUCGUGACCCUACGAUGCCCGCCCACCUAGACACCACUAGUGCCUAGAAAUAGCUCACUUCAGACUAGCCAGACCCUUGCCUGCUCGCUAGCUAAGAGGGUGGUGGAGAGCUGACACCAGUCAUCCCCCUAUAAAGAGCAUAAGAGAUUUUUUCAGUCUUCUACCAAUUACCGUAAGAUUAUCUGAAAUGGGGAUACUUUUCUCUCCAACCAUCUCAGGGCCUUUUUGUGGCUAACUCAAGGCCCCAUAACCUUUCUCUUGACCAUCAUUAUUCCUUGAUUCUACUCGUUGCUCCACCAACCCACUUGAAGGUGCUCACACAUGGCUUCGAUCGAUAACACCUGAUUGGCUAGCUGGUCCUAGGGCACCGACACACUGCCUCACACUUACCUAUGUAUCUUGGGGUUUAGGGCUCAGACUAUCCAUGCAUAAUAUCUCCAACAUAUUUCAUGCUCAGAAUGCUCACACACUGCUUUCACUGAUGGCCCCUGCCAGACUAUUUGGCUUGAGGGUGCUUGACCACUAUCCCAAACUUAUCUACGUAUCUUGCAGUUCGGGGCUUCCAUUAUCUGCACAACAUAUUAGUAACCUAUUCCAAUGCUCCAAAUGCACACCCGCAUCUCUUACAACCACUUUACCGUCAGCUUGAUCUCGACAGCUGCUCAGCUCAAGGUCAGUAAUGGUAGGACCAAGGCACACCAAGGCCUAACCAUGACAUUAGGGCUGUUAAGAGCACUUUUUUAGUUCGUGAUGCACCAGUUCCACCUUACAACGUUUGGUACGACAUAUA
rnacentral:lncRNA from 1 species